ensembl:lncRNA
AAUUCUUCAUUAAAUCAUUAAACAGCAUUUAUCUGCAAAUACUCAAGGGAGUAGUGGUUUAACCUUCCACUUUUUUCCGAAGGCCAAGUUCCUCGGAGGAUUUUCCAUAAUUCUAUGUGAACUUCUCUCAGACCAACUUUUGCCACGGGCCUAAAGUGAAUAAAAUAAGGCAGAGGUUCACAGCUACACAGGAUUAUAGUACAGUAGAAAAAGAUUUAUGGGGAUGAUGAUUUCUCCUGAGGGCAAGGAGCAGCUUCGAGAGGAAAGUCAGAGGUCCUUUUCUAAAACCUAC